rnacentral:rRNA from 1 species
UUAAAUUGAAGAGUUUGAUCAUGGCUCAGAUUGAACGCUGGCGGCAGGCCUAACACAUGCAAGUCGAACGGUAACAGGAAACAGCUUGCUGUUUCGCUGACGAGUGGCGGACGGGUGAGUAAUGUCUGGGAAACUGCCUGAUGGAGGGGGAUAACUACUGGAAACGGUAGCUAAUACCGCAUAACGUCGCAAGACCAAAGAGGGGGACCCUCGGGCCUCUUGCCAUCGGCUGUGCCCAGACGGGAUUAGCUUGUUGGUGGGGUAACGGCUCACCAAGGCGACGAUCCCUAGCUGGUCUGAGAGGAUGACCAGCCACACAGGAACUGAGACACGGUCCAGACUCCUACGGGAGG